rnacentral:lncRNA from 1 species
UGUUACUUUAUAUCGAUAAUUUAGGAUAUAAGUUGUUGACAUACGUUUAAAUAUAAUUCAGGAUAUGAAAACGGACUAAUUUUAAACAUAAUGCAGGGUGGGAUGUCUGAUGAUGCUAGCACGGAAGCAGAUCUUUGUGAAAUAGUUACUUCAGGUACUUGUUCAACUCUUGAUUCUUGGCUUCGCCGAAUUAUGUAACGUUUAAUGGGGCUAACUGGAAUAAUUAACUUGAAUGCAGAAUAUUCAUCUUGGGCAGAUCGAUUUCCUCGUAUGAAAGAAGUAAUUGAGAGAUGAUUCGAUUUUUCUUCGAAUAAAUGUUUUUGGAUCACUGCAUCAGCAGCAUGGCUUUGAAAUUUUCAAAUCUUCAUAGGAUUUUAUUAUUUAAUCUAAGUUCUAAACCUUUUUCUCCUCUCCCGUUUUCAACUGUGGCAUUUGCUCUUGUUCAUGUAAUUUUGUUUUAUUUACACUUCUCGAAGUGUUAUUUUACUGAAAAGAUCAAAAGAAAAAAAUGGGAACUUGGAUGAGGUCAAAGAUAAGACUGUAACUGUGUUCUUUUUAUCAAGUGAUAAAUCUCUAAGUGGGACUUGGUUUUAAUUAGUUAAACAUAACCUAUUAGGUGAUCAUCCCAGCAAUCGAGUGUGAUGAAAGAUAAUAUUUA